UGAGGAAUAUUGGUCAAUGGGCGCAAGCCUGAACCAGCCAUCCCGCGUGCAGGAUGACGGCCCUAUGGGUUGUAAACUGCUUUUAUACAGGAAGAAAAAUCUCUACGAAUAGGGACUUGCCGGUACUGUAUGAAUAAGAAUCGGCUAACUCCGUGCCAGCAGCCGCGGUAAUACGGAGGAUGCAAGCGUUAUCCGGAUUCAUUGGGUUUAAAGGGUGCGUAGGCGGCUCUUUAAGUCAGUGGGUAAAUCCGGGCGCUCAACGAUGUAAUGGCCAUUGAUACUG
rnacentral:rRNA from 1 species